GACGAACGCUGGCGGCGUGCUUAACACAUGCAAGUCGAACGGAAAGGCCCUGCUUUUGUGGGGUGCUCGAGUGGCGAACGGGUGAGUAACACGUGAGUAACCUGCCCUUGACUUUGGGAUAACUUCAGGAAACUGGGGCUAAUACCGGAUAGGAGCUCCUGCUGCAUGGUGGGGGUUGGAAAGUUUCGGCGGUUGGGGAUGGACUCGCGGCUUAUCAGCUUGUUGGUGGGGUAGUGGCUUACCAAGGCUUUGACGGGUAGCCGGCCUGAGAGGGUGAACGGCCACAUUGGGACUGAGAGACGGCCCAGACUCCUACGGGAGGCAGCAGUGGGGAAUAUUGCACAAUGGGCGGAAGCCUGAUGCAGCAACGCCGCGUGCGGGAUGACGGCCUUCGGGUUGUAAACCGCUUUCUCCUGUGACGAAGCGUGAGUGACGGUAAUGGGUAAAGAAGCACCGGCUAACUACGUG
rnacentral:rRNA from 1 species